UACGUAGGAUGCGAGCGUUGUUCGGAAUUACUGGGCGUAAAGAGUACGUAGGCGGUUAAGUAAGUCAUCUAUUAAAGCCCUGGGCUUAACUUAGGUAAUGUAGAUGAAACUACUUGACUAGAGGUCAGUAGAGGAAGUCGGAAUUCUCAGUGUAGCGGUGAAAUGCGUAGAUAUUGGGAAGAACACCGGUGGCGAAAGCGGACUUCUGGGCUGAAUCUGACGCUGAGGUACGAAAGCGUGGGGAGCAAACGGG
rnacentral:rRNA from 1 species